UCCCUCUUAGCUCAGUUGGUAGAGCGCGUCACUAGUAUGUUGAGGAUUAUGUGUCGAUGACGAGGUCAGUCGUUCAAGUCGGCUAGAGGGAA